rnacentral:rRNA from 1 species
AAACCAAUAAAGUUUUCUUUAUUGGGGUUGCGGACAUAUCAUAACGAAGAGGUAUCGUAAUUGAAGAGGUUUGGAAAGACCCACCAUAGAAGGUAAUAGUCCUGUAUGUUAAACGAGAAGACUUUAGAUAUGAUCCAGAGUACCACGGGACACGUGAAACCCUGUGGGAAGCAGGAGGGACCACCCUCCAAGGCUAAAUACUACCUAGUGACCG